UUCUUAUUCAGAGAGGUGGAGGGAAUUGGCCCUUAGAAGCCUCGGCAGCGGACUCGUAAGUAGUACUGUGCUAAAUCCAACAAGCAAACAUGCUUGAAAAAUAAGAA
rnacentral:ncRNA from 1 species